rnacentral:rRNA from 1 species
CUGCUGCCUUCCGUAGGAGUUUGGUCCGUGUCUCAGUACCAAUGUGGGGGGUUGACCUCUCAGUCCCCCUAUGUAUCGUCGCCUUGGUGAGCCGUUACCCCACCAACUAGCUAAUACAACGCAUGUCCAUCUCUGACCACCUGAGUUUUCAACCACCGAAGAUGCCUCCGGUGAUGUUAUGGGGUAUUAGUACCAAUUUCUCGAUGUUAUCCCCCUGUCAAAGGUAGGUUACAUACGCGUUACGCACCCGUCGCCGGUCGCCGGCA